AACAAGGCGUACCUGCGGACCUGCGGAGGGAUCAUUACAGAGUGUUUAACCCCCUAUAAAAUGGUGGGUCUAACCUCCCGUCCUUUGCUGGGUCCCCCUUCUGGAGGACUUUCAAAACUUUCUGCUUCGGCGGGGUAUACCCGCCGGAACACCCUCAAAAAAUUCUUGAUCAAAAUGGUUCGGUCCGAGAAACUUUUUGUGAAAAUUAGCGAAAAACUUUCAGCAACGGAUCUCAGAUCG
rnacentral:misc_RNA from 1 species